rnacentral:rRNA from 1 species
GAUGAACGCUGACAGAAUGCUUAACACAUGCAAGUCUACUUGAAGUAACUUCGGUUAUGGAUGGUGGCGGACGGGUGAGUAACGCGUAAAUAACUUGCCCCCUAGUCUGGGACAACUGUUGGAAACGACAGCUAAUACUAGAUAUGCCUUUAGGACUAAAGUCCGCAAGGGAAAGAUUUAUCGGUAAGAGAUUAGCCUGUACAGUAUCAGUUAGUUGGUGAGGUAAUGGCUCACCAAGACUAUGACACUUAACUGGUUUGAGAGGAUGAUCAGUCACACUGGAACUGAGACACGGUCCAGACUCCUACGGGAGGCAGCAGUGGGGAAUAUUGCACAAUGGACGAAAGUCUGAUGCAGCAACGCCGCGUGGAGGAUGACACAUUUCGGUGCGUAAACUCCUUUUAUAUGAGAAGAUAAUGACGGUAUUAUAUGAAUAAGCACCGGCUAACUCCGUG